AACGAACGCUGGCGGCAGGCGUAACACAUGCAAGUCGAACGCCCCGCAAGGGGAGUGGCAGACGGGUGAGUAACGCGUGGGAACAUACCCUUUCCUGCGGAAUAGCUCCGGGAAACUGGAAUUAAUACCGCAUACGCCCUACGGGGGAAAGAUUUAUCGGGGAAGGAUUGGCCCGCGUUGGAUUAGCUAGUUGGUGGGGUAAAGGCCUACCAAGGCGACGAUCCAUAGCUGGUCUGAGAGGAUGAUCAGCCACAUUGGGACUGAGACACGGCCCAAACUCCUACGCGAGGCAGCAGUGGGGAAUAUUGGACAAUGGGCGCAAGCCUGAUCCAGCCAUGCCGCGUGAGUGAUGAAGGCCUUAGGGUUGUAAAGCUCUUUCACCGAUGAAGAUAAUGACGGUAGUCGGAGAAGAAGCCCCGGCUAACUUCGUGCCAGCCGCCGCGGUAAAAC
rnacentral:rRNA from 1 species